CCUACGGGUGGCAGCAGUGAGGAAUAUUGGUCAAUGGACGCAAGUCUGAACCAGCCAAGCCGCGUGAAGGAUGACGGCCCUAUGCGUUGUAAACUUCUUUUGUACGAGGAUAAACUCCGGUACGUGUACCGGUUUGCAAGUACCUUACGAAUAAGGAUCGGCUAACUCCGUGCCAGCAGCCGCGGUAAUACGGAGGAUCCGAGCGUUAUCCGGAUUUAUUGGGUUUAAAGGGUGCGUAGGCGGGUUGUUAAGUUAGUGGUGAAAGGUCGGGGCUCAACCCCGAAACUGCCUCUAAUACUGGCAUACUAGAGAAUAGUAGAGGUAGGCGGAAUGUAUGGUGUAGCGGUGAAAUGCUUAGAGAUCAUGCAGAACACCGAUUGCGAAGGCAGCUUACCGAACUAUAUCUGACGUUGAGGCACGAAAGCGUGGGUAGCAAACAGGAUUAGAUACCCGAGUAGUC
rnacentral:rRNA from 1 species